rnacentral:misc_RNA from 1 species
GAUGAAGAACGGAGCGAAAUGCGAUAAGUAAUGUGAAUUGCAGAAUUCAGUGAAUCAUCGAAUCUUUGAACGCACAUUGCGCCCCUUGGUAUUCCGAGGGGCAUGCCCGUUCGAGCGUCAUUAUACCCCUCAAGCCUAGCUUGGUGUUGGGGCCUGCUGUUACCGGCAGCCCUUAAAAUCAGUGGCGGUGCCAUCUGGCUCUAAGCGUAGUAAUACUUCUCGCUACAGGGUCCCGGUGGAUGCUUGCCAUCAACCCCUAAUUUUCUAUGGUUGACCUCGGAUCGGGCAGGGAUACCCGCUGAACUUAAGCAUAUCAAUAAGCGGAGGA